rnacentral:rRNA from 1 species
GACGAACGCUGGCGGCGUGCUUAACACAUGCAAGUCGAACGGUGAAGCGAGUGCUUGCUCUCGUGGAUGAGUGGCGAACGGGUGAGUAACACGUGAGUAACCUGCCCAUCACUGUGGGAUAACUACUGGAAACGGUGGCUAAUACCGGAUACGACCAACUCUUGCAUGGUGAGUGGGUGGAAGGAUCUAUCGGUGAUGGAUGGACUCGCGGUCCAUCAGCUUGUUGGCGGGGUAAUGGCCCACCAAGGCGACGACGGGUAGCCGGCCUGAGAGGGUGACCGGCCACACUGGGACUGAGACACGGCCCAGACUCCUACGGGAGGCAGCAGUGGGGAAUAUUGCACAAUGGGCGGAAGCCUGAUGCAGCGACGCCGCGUGAGGGAUGACGGCCUUCGGGUUGUAAACCGCUUUCGGCUGGGAAGAAGCGAAAGUGACGGUACCUGCAGAAGAAGCACCGGCUAACUACGUG